rnacentral:rRNA from 1 species
GUAGUCUCGCACAGAUGCAUAUCAAUAAGCGGAGGAAAAGAAACUAACAAGGAUUCCCUUAGUAACGGCGAGUGAAGCGGGAAGAGCUCAAAUUUGAAAUCUUCAAGGUUUUACCUUGACGAAUUGUAGUUUAAAGAAGUGUUUUCUGCUGAAGUUUUGGUAAAAGUUCUUUGGAAUAGGACAUCAUAGAGGGUGAGAAUCCCGUAUUUGACCAUUAUUUUCAGCUUUGUGAUACACUUUCAAAGAGUCGGAUUGUUUGGGAAUGCAGUCCAAAAUGGGUGGUAAAUUUCAUCUAAAGCUAAAUAUUGGCGAGAGACCGAUAGCGAACAAGUACCGUGAGGGAAAGAUGAAAAGAACUUUGAAAAAAGAGUUAAAUAGUACGUGAAAUUGUCAAAAGGGAAGCGUUUGAACACCAGUGUUGUUUUCUGAAAAUCAACCUCUGUUAGCUUUAUGCAUGUUUGUUUAGACCUAAUCAGCUAUCUUGCAUGUUCUAUUGUUUGCAGUGGUGCACUUUUCAGUUUACAGGUCAACAUCAGUUUUUUUUACCGUAAAAAAGUUAAAGAAAGGUAGCUCAUGGCUCCGGUCGUGAGUGUUAUAGUCUUUUUCCUAUGCGGUAGGAGAGACUGAGGUCUGCAGUGUAGGCUAUUUGGCUAGAUACUCAGGUGCUAUGUGAUACCAUUUCAUAAACAACUUGUUGAUUAUGUUUUGUCUAUUGCAUACUCGCUUGUACUAUCAUACCUACGCUUAGGAUGUUGAACUCUAUCACACACAG